GGUGGGGUGGCUGAGAGCAUAAGCGGUGGGUUGUAGCCCCAUGAACAGAGGUUUAAGUCCUCUCCCUACCA
rnacentral:tRNA from 1 species